ensembl:misc_RNA 7SK 7SK RNA
GUAUAUGACGGAGAUCUGGCUGCAAUAUCUGUCACCCCUGUUGAUCGCCAGCGUUGAUUUGGCUGAUCUGGCUGGCUAGGCUGGUGUCCCCCUUACCCCCCCCCACCUAUCCGUGUGCCUCCCUCCGGAAGCUGCACACUAGUUCAAAGAGGACGACCUUCCCCUAAUAGAGGAGGACCAGUCUUUGGUCAAGGGUAUAUGAGUAGCUGCACUCCCCUGCCAGAACCUCCAAGCAAGCUGUCAAGAAAUAGAUCUCAGGGUCGAUAAUGGCGCACGCCUUUAAUCCCAGUACUUGGGAGGCAGAACCAGGCAGAUCUCUGUGAGU